rnacentral:rRNA from 1 species
UACGAAGGGGGCUAGCGUUGCUCGGAAUUACUGGGCGUAAAGGGAGCGUAGGCGGAUAGUUUAGUCAGAGGUGAAAGCCCAGGGCUCAACCUUGGAACUGCCUUUGAUACUGGCUAUCUUGAGUAUGGGAGAGGUGAGUGGAACUCCGAGUGUAGAGGUGAAAUUCGUAGAUAUUCGGAAGAACACCAGUGGCGAAGGCGACUCACUGGCCCAUUACUGACGCUGAGGCUCGAAAGCGUGGGGAGCAAACAG